UGGUUCUCGCAUCGAUGAAGAACGCAGCGAAAUGCGAUAAGUAAUGUGAAUUGCAGAAUUUAGUGAAUCAUCGAAUCUUUGAACGCACAUUGCGCCCUUUGGUAUUCCGAGGGGCAUGCCUUUUCGAGCGUCAUUUCAAAUCUCAAGCGACAGCUUGGUGUUGGGUCUGCGUCCGCCUGGCGGACGGGCCUCAAAGCGAUAGGCGGCCUCGCAGACGGCUUGGAGCGUAGUAAACAUAUUUUUUCUCGCUCAGGGAGCCGCGCGUUGGCAUUUAGCCCAGCAAACCACAGAAAACCCAUCAAGGUUUGACCUCGGAUAAGGCAGGGAUACCCGCUGA
rnacentral:misc_RNA from 1 species